rnacentral:rRNA from 1 species
UACGUAGGGGGGCAAGCGUUGUCCGGAAUCAUUGGGCGUAAAGAGCGCGUAGGCGGUCCGGUAAGUCCGCUCUGAAAGUCCGGGGCUCAACCCCGGGAGGCGGGCGGAUACUGUCGGGCUAGGGUCCGGAAGAGGCGAGUGGAAUUCCUGGUGUAGCGGUGAAAUGCGCAGAUAUCAGGAGGAACACCAAUGGCGAAGGCAGCUCGCUGGGACGGUACUGACGCUGAGGCGCGAAAGCGUGGGGAGCAAACAGG